rnacentral:rRNA from 1 species
AUGAGCCGUUCCUUGGUGCUUGGUGCUCGCCCACUUGGAAGUGGUGGCUGUCGCUCUACUUCGACACCUAUUGCGACAUCCAUCGGUUCUGCUAGUCGCUCUACAUCGACUCCUAUUGCGGCUUGUGCGCAUGGCGGUGACCGCUCUAUGUCGACUCCCCAUGUGGCUUCCACAUGUGGCUCUAUGUCAACCCGCUACUCUUGGUCGACUCUACAUUUGGUUUCCACGGGUGGUGGCGACUGUUCAUCGUCGGCAGAUGGUUCUACCUCGACCUCUUUUGUCAUGUCCCUGUCUGCAUGUGAGAUUGCACAGGUGCGAUGCCUGCUUGAUGCUUGGGAUUCUUCACUGACAGUUUCUGCAGGUUCCGUGACUGACUCUUCUGGCAUUGAGAAACCACUUCCUACUCAUUCAGUCUCCUGUUCGUGUUCUUACGGUUGA